rnacentral:rRNA from 1 species
GAUGAACGCUGACAGAAUGCUUAACACAUGCAAGUCAACUUGAAUUUGGGUUUUUAACUUAGAUUUGGGUGGCGGACGGGUGAGUAACGCGUAAAGAACUUGCCUCACAGCUAGGGACAACAUUUAGAAAUGAAUGCUAAUACCUGAUAUUAUGAUUUUAAGACAUCUUAGAAUUAUGAAAGCUAUAUGCACUGUGAGAGAGCUUUGCGUCCCAUUAGCUAGUUGGAGAGGUAACAGCUCACCAAGGCGAUGAUGGGUAGCCGGCCUGAGAGGGUGAACGGCCACAAGGGGACUGAGACACGGCCCUUACUCCUACGGGAGGCAGCAGUGGGGAAUAUUGGACAAUGGACCGCGAGUCUGAUCCAGCAAUUCUGUGUGCACGAUGAAGUUUUUCGGAAUGUAAAGUGCUUUCAGUUGGGAAGAAAAAAAUGACGGUACCAACAGAAGAAGUGACGGCUAAAUACGUGCCAGCAGCCGCGGUAAUACGUAUGUCACGAGCGUUAUCCGGAUUUAUUGGGCGUAAAGCGCGUCUAGGUGGUUAUGUAAGUCUGAUGUGAAAAUGCAGGGCUCAACUCUGUAUUGCGUUGGAAACUGUAUAACUAGAGUACUGGAGAGGUAAGCGGAACUACAAGUGUAGAGGUGAAAUUCGUAGAUAUUUGUAGGAAUGCCGAUGGGGAAGCCAGCUUACUGGACAGAUACUGACGCUAAAGCGCGAAAGCGUGGGUAGCAAACAGG